ensembl:rRNA 5S_rRNA 5S ribosomal RNA
UGUGAGGUUCUGCUCUGACAGCCCCCAGGCCCCAGAACAGCCUUAGGGCACCGCAGCCUGGAAGCUAAGCAGGACUGGGCCUGGCUGGGGCUUGGGUGGGAGACUGCCUAGGAAGACCAGGGAGACUCCAAAG